GCCGCCGCAGGCUACUGCACUAGACCUACCACAGAGCUUGGCUCGGAGCUGGAGGACACUUCGACGUCCGCCGCUCACCGGGCUGCUGCGCUAUGGGCACGGCGGGCGACGACCAGCAGCACGCGCCGCUCCUGUCGCCCGACGGAGAAGGCGGCAGCGGAUCGGAAGGCGGCGCCGCUGCGGCUCCGUCGCCGGGAGAAGGUGGCGGCGGCGGCGGCGGCGGGCACGGGGUGAGCGGGGAGCUGGAGCGCAUCCUGUCGGACGAGUCGGCGCCCCCUGCAUCGCGGCUGGCGCGCGCGGCGCGGGCGGAGCUCCGGCUCCUCGUGGCGCUGGCCGCGCCGGCCUGCGCCGUGUACAUGAUCAACUACCUCAUGUCCAUGUCCACGCGCAUCUUCUGCGGCCAGCUCGGAACGCUCGAGCUCGCCGCCGCCUCUCUCGGCAACGUCGGCAUCCAGGUCUUCGCGUACGGCCUCAUGCUGGGCAUGGGCAGCGCCGUGGAGACGCUGUGCGGGCAGGCCUACGGCGCGCACCGGUACGAGAUGCUGGGCUUCUACAUGCAGCGCUCCUUCGUCCUGCUCGCCGCCACCGGCGUCCCGCUCGCCGCCAUCUACGUCUUCUCCGAUCGGAUCCUCGUCCUCCUCGGCGAGCCCGCGCGGAUCGCCGCCGCCGCCCGGGUCUACGUCCUCGGCCUCAUCCCGCAGAUCUUCGCGUACGCCGCCAACUUCCCAAUCCAGAAGUUCCUGCAGGCGCAGAGCAUCGUGGCGCCCAGCGCCUACAUCUCCGCCGCCACGCUCGCUGCGCACCUCGCCCUCAGCUACCUCGCUGUGUACCGCCUCGGCCUCGGCCUCCUGGGCGCGUCGCUGGUCCUCAGCCUGAGCUGGUGGGUCGUCGUCGCCGGGCAGUUCGCCUACAUCGCCACGUCGCGGCGGUGCAGGCUGACCUGGACGGGGUUCUCCUGCCGGGCCUUCUCCGGCCUGCCGGAGUUUCUCCGGCUCUCCGCCGCGUCGGCAGUCAUGCUCUGCCUGGAGACCUGGUACGCGCAGAUCACCGUGCUCAUCGCCGGGUUGCUCAAGGACCCGGAGAUCGCGCUCGAUUCCCUCGCGGUGUGCAUGUCCGUGGCAGGAUGGUCGUUCAUGGUGUCGGUAGGCUUCAACGCUGCUGCGAGUGUGAGGGUGAGCAACGAGCUCGGGGCCGGGCACGCCAAGGCGGCGUCCUUCUCCGUCAAGGUGGUGACCGCGGUGUCGGCGGCGGUGGCGUGCGCCAUCGCCGCCGCCGUGCUGUGCCUCCGCGACCGCAUCGGCUACGUCUUCACCAGGGGGGACGACGUCGCGCGCGCCGCCUCCGCCAUGGCCCCGCUGCUCGCCGUCACCAUCGUCCUCGACGGCAUCCAGCCUGUCCUGUCAGGUGUGGCGGUUGGCUGCGGUUGGCAGGCGUUCGUGGCGUAUGUGAACAUCGCGUGCUACUACGGCAUCGGGAUCCCCCUCGGCUGCGUCCUGGGGUUUCACUUUGAUCUGGGCGCCAUGGGAAUAUGGGGUGGGAUGAUCGGUGGAUUGGUUGCUCAGACGCUUACGCUUAUCUGGAUCACACUCCGUACCGAUUGGAACAAAGAGGUGCUCUGCCUUUUCAUUACAGUAGGAAGCAGCAGAAAAUACAGUGGUUUAGAAUGAAAAACGUGAAAAAAACCGAAGGAGCUAGAAAAGGAAAAAAAGGAGAAAAACGGUCGAAAGAGGGAACUCGACCGCCGACAACCAGGAACGCAGAAAAAAAAGGGUAAUUACAGGAGGGAUGACCAAACGGACUGUGCUGAGUAGGAGCAGUUGGCAGCAAGGUGUGAAGCAGCAAAAGAAUGAUUAUUCGAGUUAAUAUCUCAGAAUUAUGUGGAACAAGCGCGCAUGAGGCUAAAUAAAUGGGAAGACAAGAAGAAGCCCCUAUUGGCGGAAGAUUGAGAAGUCGCACGCAUGCCGCGGUGCACGUGCUGAUCUAUACACUAUGCAUGUCAAUCAUGGUAUGGAAGAUAGCCAAAAUGUAAUUAAGUCAUUCUCAUGGGCAUUGAAAAUAGUGGAAACUGAAACUCGAAAAAGAAAAAAAGACUACUGCCCCGGCUGUCAACUUGUCACAAACAGCCAUAAUGUAAGUGGCAUAAAGGGCCACAUGCAUGCCAUCGAUCUCAAUCAAUACCGAAGUUACGUA